rnacentral:rRNA from 1 species
ACGGGUGAGUAAUGCCUAGGAAUCUGCCUGGUAGUGGGGGACAACGUUUCGAAAGGAACGCUAAUACCGCAUACGUCCUACGGGAGAAAGCAGGGGACCUUCGGGCCUUGCGCUAUCAGAUGAGCCUAGGUCGGAUUAGCUAGUUGGUGAGGUAAUGGCUCACCAAGGCGACGAUCCGUAACUGGUCUGAGAGGAUGAUCAGUCACACUGGAACUGAGACACGGUCCAGACUCCUACGGGAGGCAGCAGUGGGGAAUAUUGGACAAUGGGCGAAAGCCUGAUCCAGCCAUGCCGCGUGUGUGAAGAAGGUCUUCGGAUUGUAAAGCACUUUAAGUUGGGAGGAAGGGUUGUAGAUUAAUACUCUGCAAUUUUGACGUUACCGACAGAAUAAGCACCGGCUAACUCUGUGCCAGCAGCCGCGGUAAUACAGAGGGUGCAAGCGUUAAUCGGAAUUACUGGGCGUAAAGCGCGCGUAGGUGGUUCGUUAAGUUGAAUGUGAAAUCCCCGGGCUCAACCUGGGAACUGCAUCCAAAACUGGCGAGCUAGAGUAUGGUAGAGGGUGGUGGAAUUUCCUGUGUAGCGGUGA